rnacentral:rRNA from 1 species
UACGUAGGGUGCGAGCGUUAAUCGGAAUUACUGGGCGUAAAGCGUGCGCAGGCGGCUAUUUAAGCUUGCUGUGAAAGCCCCGGGCUUAACCUGGGAACUGCAGUGAGGACUGGAUGGCUGGAGUGUGGCAGAGGGGGGUGGAAUUCCACGUGUAGCAGUGAAAUGCGUAGAGAUGUGGAGGAACACCGAUGGCGAAGGCAGCCCCCUGGGCUAACACUGACGCUCAGGCACGAAAGCGUGGGGAUCAAACAGG